GAUCAUGGCUCAGGAUGAACGCUGGCGGCGUGCUUAACACAUGCAAGUCGAACGAAGCACUUUAAUUGAUUUCUUCGGAAUGAAGUUUUUGUGACUGAGUGGCGGACGGGUGAGUAACGCGUGGGUAACCUGCCUCAUACAGGGGGAUAACAGUUGGAAACGACUGCUAAUACCGCAUAAGCACACAGGAUUGCAUGAUCCAGUGUGAAAAACUCCGGUGUAUGAGAUGGACCCGCG
rnacentral:rRNA from 1 species